rnacentral:rRNA from 1 species
CGAAAGCCUGACGGAGCAAGACCGCGUGGGGGAAGAAGGCUCUUGGGUUGUAAACCCCUUUUCUCUGGGAAGAAAGUUGUGAAAGCAACCUGACGGUACCAGAGGAAUCAGCAUCGGCUAACUCCGUGCCAGCAGCCGCGGUAAGACGGAGGAUGCAAGCGUUAUCCGGAAUGAUUGGGCGUAAAGCGUCCGCAGGUGGCAGUUCAAGUCUGCUGUCAAAGACCGGGGCUUAACUUCGGAAAGGCAGUGGAAACUGAACAGCUAGAGUAUGGUAGGGGCAGAGGGAAUUCCUGGUGUAGCGGUGAAAUGCGUAGAGAUCAGGAAGAACAUCGGUGGCGAAGGCGCUCUGCUGGACCAUAACUGACACUCAGGGACGAAAGCUAGGGAGCG